rnacentral:rRNA from 1 species
UACGUAGGGUCCAAGCGUUAUCCGGAAUCACUGGGCGUAAAGCGUGCGUAGGUGGCGCGUUAAGUGAGAUGUUAAAACGUGGGGCUCAACCCUGUCGGUGCAUCUCAUACUGGCGUGCUAGAGGACAGCAGAGGCAAGUGGAAUUUGUAGUGUAGCAGUGAAAUGCGUAGAUAUUACAAGGAACACCAAUGGCGAAGGCAGCUUGCCUGGGCUACUCCUGACACUGAGGUACGAAAGCGUGGGGAGCGAACAGG